GUUACAAGGUAUAUUGCAUUGAAUUGAUUAAUUUCAGUAAAUGUUUUUUUUUUCCCUAGAGAACGACCUCUUUUAAGACCAAACGUUAUGAGAAAUGUAUACAAGUUGGAAAUAAGUUUUGUUCUUACCAAACUUAGAGUUCGUUAAUUGUGGUUGUUUCUUUUGUUUAGUUUUCUUGCUUCUGUCCCAUGGAAUCAACUAACUUGAUUCGUCAGAAAAAUUGCCUCGUUAUGGCAGCUGCAUCUGCAGUUCAAGCAGCAAGAGAACAAAGUAACAGAGAAGGGAAGAAUAAGCUAUUGAGGCAGUGUGUGGAACAUGUUGAGGCUUGCCGUGAUCUACGUAGAAAGAUAGGGAUUGGAGGGUCAAGCAGCAGUCAGAAAGGUAGCCAUGACACUGUUUUGUUUCUUCUGAAGUUAAAUACACGGCACGAAUAAUGACUUAGUAAGCCAAGUAGCUUAUGUAAACGCGCAGACGUCUUAACUCCUCCAUCUACUUUGAUGAUAGGCGGUGGUGUGCACAUGUUAUCUUACCUGGAACUUUCAGUUUCAUUUUGACUAGUAAAAUUGUCACUGUUCUUUUUAGAAGAAGUAAAAACACCUGUUGUUAACACUAACAGGCUUUGCUUUUAAGGGAUUUUUCGAGACAAAACCAAUCUGUAACUUCCUUUUCAGAUGAGUCAGUGUUACUGUUGACAUUGUAUGAGUUCGAGGCAAAGGCACAAUUAGGCGAUUCAGACCUGUCCUUGUGUCUCGAUACUGCGGAGGCCCUGCCACAUGCUGAUGCUAGCACUUUCGAAACUCUUGCUGCUCUCGCAGUUGAACCGCCUGCCUACUACAGAGAAAUAAGCAUGAGAGCUUUGAAAGUUUCUAUCAAGAAACAUCUUGCCAUGGAUGUAGUUGACUUCACUAAAUUAAGGUAAUUGAUUGUCACCGCUUUGCCCUGGUUUUGUUCAUACACAAAGUACCUAACGGAAGACUUAGCAGGAUUGGCUGAGAAAACAAUAGAACAAACAACAGAAACAAUGAACCUGCCCCUAAAACAAUAGAGAUGGGUAAAACAGCUAAUUAUCACAUGCGUCCCCAGUUCGCAUCUUAUGGGAAC